rnacentral:rRNA from 1 species
UGGCGGACGGGGGAGUAAUGUCUGGGGAAACUGCCUGAUGGAGGGGGGUAACUACUGGAAACGGUAGCUAAUACCGCAUAACGUCGCAAGACCAAAGAGGGGGACCUUAGGGCCUCUUGCCAUCGGAUGUGCCCAGAUGGGAUUAGCUAGUAGGUGGGGUAACGGCUCACCUAGGCGACGAUCCCUAGCUGGUCUGAGAGGAUGACCAGCCACACUGGAACUGAGACACGGUCCAG